rnacentral:lncRNA from 1 species
AUGCGAAGUCAAGUGGCCCUUAGAAAGCAUCAUUAUGUCAAAGCUAGCGGAGGUGAUGGAAUUCCAGUUGAGCUGUUUCAAAUACUGGAAGAUGAUGCUUUGAAAGUGCUGCACUCAAUAUGCCAGCAAAUUUGGAAAACUCAGCAGUGGCCACAGGACUGGAAAAGGUCAGUUUUCAUUCCAAUCCCCAAGAAAGGCAAUGCCAAAGAAUGCUCAAACUACCGCACAAUUGCACUCAUCUCACAUGCUAGUAAAGUGAUGCUCAAAAUUCUCCAAGCCAGGCUUCAGCAAUACGUGAACCGUGAAUUUCCUGACGUUCAAGCUGGUUUUCAAAAAGGCAGAGGAACCAGAGAUCAAAUUGCCAAAUUCCGCUGGAUCAUGGAAAAAGCAAGAGAGUUCCAGAAAAACAUCUAUUUCUGCUUUAUUGACUAUGCUAAAGCCUUUGACUGUGUGGAUCACAAUAAACUGUGGAAAAUUCUGAGAGAGGUGGGAACACCAGACCACCUGAGCUGCCUCUUGAGAAACCUAUAUGCAGGUCAGGAAUCAACAGUUAGAAUUGGACAUAGAACAACAGACUGGUUCCAAAUAGGAAAAGGAGUAGGUCAAGGCUGUAUAUUGUUACCUCGCUUAUUUAACUUAUAUGCAGAGUACAUCAUGAGAAACGCUGGGCUGGAAGAAGCACAAGCUGGAAUCAGGAUUGCCGGGAGAAAUAUCAAUAACCUCAGAUAUGCAGAUGACACCACCCUUAUGGCAGAAAGUGAAGAGGAGCUAAAAAGCCUCUUGAUGAAAGUGAAAGAGGAGAGUGAAAAUGUUGGCUUAAAGAUCAACACUCAGAAAACGAAGAACAUGGCAUCUGGUCUCAUCACUUCAUGGGAAAUAGAUGGGGAAACAGUGGAAACAGUGUUAGACUUUAUUCCUUUGGGCUCCAAAAUCACUGCAGGUGGUGACUGCAGCCAUGAAAUUAAAAGACACUUACUCCUUGGAAGAAAAGUUAUGACCAACCUAGAUAGCAUAUUGAAAACCAGAGACAUUAGUUUUCCAACAAAGGUCCGUCUAGUCAAAGCUAUGGUUUUUCCAGUGGUCAUAUAUGGAUGUGAGAGUUGGACUGUAAAGAAAACUGAGCACCGAAGAGUUGAUGCUUUUGAACUGUGGUGUUGGAGAAGACUCUUCAGAGUCCCUUGGACUGCAAGGAGACCCAACCGAUCCAUUCUGAAGAUCAGCCCUGGGAUUUCUUUGGAAGGAAUGAUGCUAAAGCUGAAAGUCAAAACGGUGUGGAGAUUCCUUAAAAAACUGGAAAUAGAACUGCCUUGUGAGCCAGAAAUCCCAUUGCUGGGCAUACACACCGAGGAAACAAGAAUUGAAAGAGACACGUGUACCCCAAUGUUAAUCGCAGCACUGUUUAUAAUAGCCAGGAAAUGGAAGCAACCUAGAUGUCCAUCAGCAGAUGAAUGGUUAAGAAAGCUGUGGUACAUAUACACAAUGGAGUAA